rnacentral:rRNA from 1 species
GAUGAACGCUGGCGGCGUGCCUAACACAUGCAAGUCGAGCGAGAUUUAGUGUAGUGGAGACUUCGGUCAAAGUGAAACUAAUGAAAGCGGCGGACGGGUGAGUAACGCGUGGGCAACCUGCCCCAUACAAAGGGAUAGCCACUGGAAACGGUGAUUAAUACCUUAUAAGUCGGUAGUCUCGCAUGAGACAGCCGACAAAGAUUUAUCGGUAUGGGAUGGGGCCCGCGUUUGAUUAGCUAGUUGGUGAGGUAACGGCUCACCAAGGCGACGAUCAAUAGCCGACCUGAGAGGGUGAUCGGCCACACUGGAACUGAGACACGGUCCAGACUCCUACGGGAGGCAG